UGGGGACCGAGGGUGAAUCUGAGUUUGUCCUCCACUCCCCUCAAAGUUCCUCUAGAGCCAGGGCUCCUUCUCAGGAAGACACCUCAGAGGAGACAGAAAUUGUGGCAGGCAAG